rfam:Tilletiaria anomala TBC 951 K437scaffold_7, whole genome shotgun sequence.
GGCCAAUUGGCGCAAUGGUAGCGCGUUGCUCUCCUACAUGUGAUGAUUGCUUCAUGCGCUUGGGGCAAGCAGAGGUUGCAGGUUCGACCCCUGCAUUGGUCG